rnacentral:rRNA from 1 species
CCUACGGGCGGCAGCAGUGGGGGAUAUUGCACAAUGGGGGGAACCCUGAUGCAGCGACGCCGCGUGGGUGAAGGAGUGCUUCGGCAUGUAAAGCCCUAUCGGCAGGGAAGAAUCAAGACGGUACCUGACUAAGAAGCCCCGGCUAACUACGUGCCAGCAGCCGCGGUAAUACGUAGGGGGCGAGCGUUAUCCGGAUUCACUGGGUGUAAAGGGAGCGUAGACGGCCAUGCAAGCCAGGGGUGAAAGCCCGGGGCCCAACCCCGGGACUGCCCUUGGAACUGUGCGGCUAGAGUGCGGGAGGGGCAGGCGGAAUGCCUGGUGUAGCGGUGAAAUGCGUAGAUAUCAGGAGGAACACCGGCGGCGAAGGCGGCCUGCUGGACUGCGACUGACGUUGAGGCUCGAAAGCGUGGGGAGCGAACAGGAUUAGAUACCCGAGUAGUC